CCCGCACAAGCGGUGGAGCAUGUGGUUUUAAUUCGAAGCAACGCGAAGAACCUUACCAGGCCUUGACAUGCAGAGAACUUUCCAGAGAUGGAUUGGUGCCUUCGGGAACUCUGACACAGGUGCUGCAUGGCUGUCGUCAGCUCGUGUCGUGAGAUGUUGGGUUAAGUCCCGUAACGAGCGCAACCUUGUCCUUAGUUACCAGCACGUUAUGGUGGGCACUCUAAGGAGACUGCCGGUGACAAACCGGAGGAAGGUGGGGAUGACGUCAAGUCAUCAUCGGCCCUUACGGCCUGGGCUACACACGUGCUACAAUGGUCGGUACAAAGGGUUGCCAAGCCGCGAGGUGGAGCUAAUCCCAUAAAACCGAUCGUAGUCCGGAUCGCAGUCUGCAACUCGACUGCGUGAAGUCGGAAUCGCUAGUAAUCGUGAAUCAGAAUGUCACGGUGAAUACGUUCCCGGGCCUU
rnacentral:rRNA from 1 species